rnacentral:lncRNA from 1 species
UAAUCAAAACCAAUUCCAUCAAUCUCCUUCCCCUCCCCCCUUAGCUUCUUCUUCUUCUUCUUACCCUCUCCCGCCGCCGCAUCCGUAUUCUCCUCCGCCGCCGCCCCACAUUUACCCGCCGGCCAAUCAGGUAAUUUUUAUCCCCGCUUCAAUCACUUGAUAGCUGUUUCAGUUCUCAAUUAGCUUCCUUUAAGAGAUUUGGGAUUUUAGAAUUUCGAAAACGGAAUCCCAUUUCCACCGGAUGCUUAAUAAACCAAUCAAUUACUCAAAAACACACACACAGCCCAUUACAUAGGAAAAAAACACAAGAUCAAAUCAACAGCUGCAUACGCCUGAAACCACAAGCUUAUUUUAAUUCAAAUUACGACCAUAUAGAAUAAUACGUUGUAUAUAGCUUAUUAUGUAACGGAAUCUUCGUUGUACUGACGAUUGAAUAUUUCAGGCGGCCUUAGCCGCGACAGUCAACUCGUCGACUUCCUUGAAGUUCUUGACGACGAAGUCCUUGAUGACGUGAGGGACUUCGACAUCGUCACUGACCCUCUCGUACUCGCAAGUCCAUUUGACCAAGCACCCAUCUUUCUCCGCAUCCUU